AAGGCCUGGUCUACACUACAGAGUUGGUCGACGCGAGGCAGCUUCCAUCAACCUAACUCUGUAAGCGUCUACACUAAAAUAUAGCUCCCAUCGAUGUAACUUGCCCGCUGUGCCAACUUAACAACUCCACCUCUGCAAGAGGCCUAGCACACGGGUCAGCGCAAUCACAGAAUCAUAGAAUAUCAGGGUUGGAAGGGA